rnacentral:rRNA from 1 species
AGCAUCUGAAGUGAAGUAGGACCACCCGCUGAACUUAAGCAUAUCAUUAAGCGGAGGAAAAGAAACUAACAAGGAUUCCCUCAGUACGGGCGACGGAAGCGGGAAAAGCCCACACUGGAAAUCUCCGGGCGUACGCUCGGCGAAUUGUAAUCUGGAGAGAGCUAGUCCACCUGGAGCCGGCGCUGAAGUGCGCUCGAGCGCGCCGCCAGAGAGGGUGAGAGCCCCGUGCGGCGCCGGCGACUACAC